GACGAACGCUGGCGGCGUGCUUAACACAUGCAAGUCGAACGGAAAGGCCCUGCUUUUGUGGGGUGCUCGAGUGGCGAACGGGUGAGUAACACGGGAGUAACCUGACCUUGACUUUGGGAUAACUUCAGGAAACUGGGGCUAAUACCGGAUAGGAGCUCCUGCUGCAUGGUGGGGGUUGGAAAGUUUCGGCGGUUGGGGAUGGACUCGCGGCUUAUCAGCUUGUUGGUGGGGUAGUGGCUUACCAAGGCUUUGACGGGUAGCCGGCCUGAGAGGGUGACCGGCCACAUUGGGACUGAGAUACGGCCCAGACUCCUACGGGAGGCAGCAGUGGGGAAUAUUGCACAAUGGGCGGAAGCCUGAUGCAGCAACGCCGCGUGCGGGAUGACGGCCUUCGGGUUGUAAACCGCUUUCGCCUGUGACGAAGCGUGAGUGACGGUAAUGGGUAAAGAAGCACCGGCUAACUACGUG
rnacentral:rRNA from 1 species